AUUGAACGCUGGCGGCAGGCUUAACACAUGCAAGUCGAGCGGGGUGAUGGUGCUUGCACUAUCACUUAGCGGCGGACGGGUGAGUAAUGCUUAGGAAUCUGCCUAUUAGUGGGGGACAACAUCUCGAAAGGGAUGCUAAUACCGCAUACGUCCGACGGGAGAAAGCAGGGGAUCACUUGUGACAUUGCGCUAAUAGAUGAGCCUAAGUCGGAUUAGCUGGGUGGUGGGGUAAAGGCCUACCAAGGCGACGAUCUGUAGCGGGUCUGAGAGGAUGAUCCGCCACACUGGGACUGAGACACGGCCCAGACUCCUACGGGAGGCAGCAGUGGGGAAUAUUGGACAAUGGGGGGAACCCUGAUCCAGCCAUGCCGCGUGUGUGAGGAAGGCCUUAUGGAUGUAAAGCACUCUAAGCGAGGAGGAGGCUCUUUUGGUUAAUACCCAAGAUGAGUGGACGUUACUCGCAGAAUAAGCACCGGCUAACUCUGUGCCAGCCGCCGCAGUAA
rnacentral:rRNA from 1 species